GUAAGUUAAGUGGUAAAGGAUGUGGGAUUGCACAGACAACCAGGAUGUUGGCUUAGAAGCAGCCACUCAUUCAAAGAGUGCGUAAUAGCUCACUGGUCGAGUGAUCCUGCGCCGAAGAUUGCCGGGGCUAAAACUUACUACCGAAGCUACGGCAUCAGUAAUGAUGGGUAGGGGAGCUUCCCAUACGGGUUGAAGCAUGACCGUAAGGACAUGUGGACAGUAUGGGAGUGAGAAUGUUGGCAUGAGUAGCGAGAUGUGGGUGAGAAUCCCACAGGCCGUAAACCCAAGGUUUCCAGGGGAAGGUUCG
rnacentral:rRNA from 1 species